GGUGUUUCAGAGCCUGCUCCUGACUGCGGACCCCAUGGAGUCCUUCCCACUACAAUGAGCUGGGCUUUUCUUGGCACAUGAGGCUUAUACAGACCACUUCUCGACUGAUCCACCUGUGAGAAGAUCCAGACCUUUUCUGGUAGUCAUGGCCAGAAAGCAGCAUCAUAUGUACAGCUGAGGAGGGCUACAGGAGCCAGCUUUCCCAAGCUGGCAGGACUCCUGGACACAGCUUCCCCAGCCAGCCUCCCUGCAGGAUGAAGAUGCUACCGGUUCCUAUACCCGUCCUGCACACAGGGAGGUGUUGUAACAGCCGAAAAGCUGGGGUCUAGCCACAACUCUGCUGCAACUGCACCUACAUUCAGGGCUAAGCAAGAGGGCAGAGAGGUGGAUUAAUUUCUUCUAAAUCAUGAUUGCUAUUCUGCAGUGGUUUAGUGGAAAGAGCUUGCGGAUUGGAACAAAAGGUUUGAUUCUAGUCCUGAACACUUAUUAACUAUGAAGGUUCCUAUAGCAUUCUGUACUUCCCAGUGUGUAACUCUCAACCCAGCUGCAACUACUUUUUCAAUGACUCUUCUGGACUAGACUAUAAGCUCCUUGAACAAGGCAGACACUGCGCUUGCCUGAUUCACUACUAUAUUGCCAGGCAUAAGAGUUGCUAAAUAAAAAUGUGUUCGAUUGUACUAUUAUAAAACUGAUGUUGCUAAAAUGAUCAUUAUGAUGUUAUGUCACAUAUUUAAUAUCAUAUUGUGGUAUCAACAUAAACUCAUUAGUAAGCAGAACUAAAGACUUUAAGUCAAAGGAAACAAUGAAUGAAUGAAAAUUAAUGUUCUGAAGAAAACAUGGAUUUUUACCACCACUCCUACCAACAAAAAUCUAUUCAACUCUAUUCAAAGAUCCAGGUUUGCUAUCCAGAUACCUCUAAAAGAAGAAAAUACAGCAGUCUUAAGAAGAAUGCAUAUUUCCUCACGUUGUCAGCUUGACAUAUUCAGGACAGAAUCUCUCCUUCAGUGCUUAACAUUUUGAUUCAUAGACUGAGGUCUCAGAAGCUAAAAAAAUGGAAAUAUGUCAUCUAAAUGUCAGCACUGAUUUUAUGAUAUUCUAGAAGGAAGCAAAUGGGAACACAUGAGAGCUUAGGUGUCCUGUCUGAGAGUUCAGUGAACAGUGUCUUGGAAGAACCUGAGUAGAGUGUGUGUGAUAUCUUGGAAGGAUUAGAAAUUGGAGUAAUGAUCAUUUAUCUUGGUAAAAAGCCCUUAGCUUCUGUGUUAUUCACAGUUCUCCAGAGAGCAGACCAAUGGGAAAUAUAUCUAUAUCGAUAUAUGCAUAUAAAAUAAGAAAUUAGCUCAUGUGAUUAUGGAGGCUGAGAAAUCCCACGACCUGCCAUCUACAAGUUGGACUAGACUCUAAGCUCCUUGAACAAGGCAGACUAGGAAAGCUGGUGGUGUACUUCCAGUAUGAGCCCGAAGGCCUGAGAACUAGAGGAGCCAAUGGUGUAACUCCCAGUCUGAGUGCAGUAGAGGAUCAGAAGAGAUGUCCCAGCUCCAGCAGUGAGGGAGAAAAGAAGGACAAAUUCCUUCCUCUGCAUAUUGUUCUAUUCAGACCCUCAAUAGGUUAAAUGAUGCCCACUCUCAUUAAAGAGGACCAUCUACUUUACGGAACUGCUAAGUUUGACAUACAAAGGACCAAUGGGAUACAUUGCUGAUGAAGGAGAAGGAGGUCUAACCACUUUGAAAAACAAUUUGAAAUUCAACUGUGCAGAGAAAAUGACUGGUCAGGCCACUCACAGUGGGUCACUCUUGGAAUCCCUUGCUGAGGUGGGAGGACUGCUUGAGCUCAGGAGCUUGAGACCAACCUGGAAAACAUAAUGAGACUGAGACCUCGUCUCUUCUAAAAAGAAAAAAAAAUUAGCAGAGCACGGUGGCAUGUGCCUAUAGUCCCAGCUACUCUGGAGGGUGAGGCAUGAGGAUCAACUGAGCCCAGGAGUUGGAGGCUGCAGCAAGCUGUGAUCAUCACACUCUGUCCUGGACAACAGAGUGAGACCUGGUCUC